rnacentral:rRNA from 1 species
UACGAAGGGGGCUAGUGUUGUCCGGAAUCAUUGGGCGUAAAGCGCGUGUAGGCGGCCAGAUAAGUCCGGUGUGAAAGUCAAAGGCUCAACCUUUGAAUGCCGCUGGAAACUGUCUGGCUAGAGUCCGGAAGGGGCGAGUGGAACUCCUGGUGUAGCGGUGAAAUGCGCAGAUAUCAGGAAGAACACCUAUGGCGAAGGCAGCUCGCUGGGACGGUACUGACGCUGAGACGCGAAAGCGUGGGGGAGCGAACAGG